UACAGAGGUCUCAAGCGUUGUUCGGAAUCACUGGGCGUAAAGGGUGCGUAGGCUGCACGGUAAGUCAGAUGUGAAAUCCCAGGGCUCAACCCUGGAAUUGCAUCCGAUACUGCCGUGCUUGAGGACUGGAGAGGAGUCUGGAAUUCAUGGUGGAGCAGUGAAAUGCGUAGAUAUCAUGAGGAACGCUAGUGGCGUAGGCGAGACUCUGGACAGUUCCUGACGCUGAGGCACGAAGGCCAGGGGAGCAAACGGG
rnacentral:rRNA from 1 species